rnacentral:rRNA from 1 species
GACAGAGGGUGCAAACGUUGCUCGGAAUUACUGGGCGUAAAGCGCACGUAGGCGGCUUGGUAUGUCGGGUGUGAAAUCCCCGGGCUCAACCUGGGAACUGCAUCCGAAACUGCCUUGCUCGAGUAUGGGAGAGGGAAGUGGAAUUUCCGGUGUAGCGGUGAAAUGCGUAGAUAUCGGAAGGAACAUCAGUGGCGAAGGCGACUUCCUGGACCAAUACUGACGCUCAGGUGCGAAAGCGUGGGGAGCAAACAGG